rnacentral:rRNA from 1 species
GUUAAGCGACUAAGCGUACACGGUGGAUGCCCUGGCAGUCAGAGGCGAUGAAGGACGUGCUAAUCUGCGAAAAGCGCCGGCGAGGUGAUAUGAACCUUUGACCCGGCGAUGUCCGAAUGGGGAAACCCAGUGCAAUUCGUUGCACUAUCGUUAACUGAAUACAUAGGUUAACGAGGCGAACCGGGGGAACUGAAACAUCUAAGUACCCCGAGGAAAAGAAAUCAACCGAGAUUCCCCCAGUAGCGGCGAGCGAACGGGGAGCAGCCCAGAGUCUGAAUCAGCUUGUGUGUUAGUGGAAGCGUCUG